UACGAAGGGGGCUAGCGUUGCUCGGAAUCACUGGGCGUAAAGCGCACGUAGGCGGAUCUUUAAGUCAGGGGUGAAAUCCUGGAGCUCAACUCCAGAACUGCCUUUGAUACUGGGGAUCUCGAGUCCGGAAGAGGUGAGUGGAACUCCGAGUGUAGAGGUGAAAUGCGCAGAUAUCAGGAAGAACACCCGUGGCUAAGGCGGCUCUCUAGUACGGUACUGACGCUGAGACGCGAAAGCGUGGGGAGCGAACAGG
rnacentral:rRNA from 1 species